UACGAGUGCUUCAAGCGUUAUCCGGAAUCAUUGGGCGUAAAGGGUGCGUAGGCGGCGAUGUUAGUCUUCUGUAAAAUCUUUCGGCUCAACCGAGAGUCCGCAGGAGAAACGGCAUUGCUUGAGGAUGUGAGAGGUUUCUGGAACUCAUAGUGUAGCGGUGAAAUGCGUUGAUAUUAUGGGGAACACCAAAAGCGAAGGCAAGAAACUGGCACACUCCUGACGCUGAAGCACGAAAGCGUGGGUCGCGAAUGGG
rnacentral:rRNA from 1 species